CUCAUUCAAUUACAUGAUAUGGCAUGACAAUGGAUGUAAACUAGUGGCAGACCUGUAUCAAGGCUCCACCUGGAAGAGCUUCCCGGCCAUUCAAACCCAAUACCAAUUGCCACAGAGAGCCAUCUUCUCAUAUCUCCAACUCAAGUCACAUCUGCAAAAGACGACGCAGAUGCUGUCUGCUCCCACAAUUAGCAAGAUAGAAUCCCUCUGUCUCGCCCCCCACAAACAAAAGAAACUCAUGUCCAGUAUCUACCAGGUACUCCUUACAACGCAAACCGAGACACAUUACACACAUACGGAGGCAUGGCAUACAGAGAUAGGCAGGACCUUUACUACAGAGCAAUGGCAAGAGGCUUACAUAGCACAUAAAGGGACAACAGCAUGCGCAACACAUUUAGAACUC